rnacentral:rRNA from 1 species
GACGAACGCUGGCGGCGCGCUUAAUACAUGCAAGUCGAGCGAGAACCAGGGCUUCGGCCCUGGGGACAGCGGCGAACGGGUGAGUAACACGUGGGUAAUCAACCCCCGACACCGGGAUAGCCCAGGGAAACUUGGAUUAAUACCGGAUGCCCCAUCUGGCUUUCGAGCCGGCUGGAAAAGGGUAGCUUCGGCCUCCGGUCGGGGACGAGCCCGCGGCGGAUUAGCUUGUUGGUGAGGUAAGGGCUCACCAAGGCGGCGAUCCGUAGCUGGUCUGAGAGGACGAUCAGCCACACGGGGACUGAGACACGGCCCAGACGCGUACGGGAGGCAGCAGUAGGGAAUCUUGCGCAAUGGGCGAAAGCCUGACGCAGCGACGCCGCGUGAGGGAAGAAGGCCUUCGGGUUGUAAACCUCUUUCAGGAGGGACGAAGCCACUCGGGUUAAUAGCCUAGAGGGUGACGGUACCUCCAGAAGAAGCCCCGGCUAACUACGUGCCAGCAGCCGCCGUAA